UACGUAGGGUGCAAGCGUUAAUCGGAAUUACUGGGCGUAAAGCGUGCGCAGGCGGUUUUGUAAGCCAGAUGUGAAAGCCCCGGGCUUAACCUGGGAAUGGCAUUUGGGACUGCAAGGCUUGAGUGCGGCAGAGGAGACUGGAAUUCCUGGUGUAGCAGUGAAAUGCGUAGAUAUCAGGAGGAAUACCGAUGGCGAAGGCAGGUCUCUGGGCUGACACUGACGCUCAUGCACGAAAGCG
rnacentral:rRNA from 1 species